rnacentral:rRNA from 1 species
UACGUAGGGGGCUAGCGUUGUCCGGAUUUAUUGGGCGUAAAGAGCUCGUAGGCGGUUUGUCGCGUCUGCUGUGAAAUCCCGAGGCUCAACCUCGGGUCUGCAGUGGGUACGGGCAGACUGGAGUGCGGUAGGGGAGAAUGGAAUUCCUGGUGUAGCGGUGGAAUGCGCAGAUAUCAGGAGGAACACCGAUGGCGAAGGCAGUUCUCUGGGCCGUAACUGACGCUGAGGAGCGAAAGCGUGGGGAGCGAACAGG